UAAUGAAUAAUUAGGAAGUUAAUGUCACCAUGCACUGUCAUGGGAAAGGUUCUGAAAGUCUAUAAAAGAUGAAACAGGACUUUAACCUUUGAUCCUAGAGGUAAUAGGAAGCCACUGGAGCUUAUUGAACAUGGAGUACAUGAUAUGGCCAGACUUAAUCCUUAGGAAUAUUGCUUUGAUGGAAAUGGAAAAAAUUAUUGAA
rnacentral:lncRNA from 1 species